AUUAUCAACAUGUUAGCUCAGAUAUAUAUUCUGUUAAGUUGAUUUCUAAAUGGUUAUACAAGUGUUAGCUCUUGGAUAAUCAUGGCAUUUAUUCACAUGUUGAUACACCUUUGUCAAUUACCCGUAUAUAUAUAUGUUGAAUUACAUAUUAUUGUUGAGCAAGAUUAAAAACCUUCGGGUUUGGAACCAGGCAUGUAUGAACAUCCCUAUAUGGGAAGAUUUUUGCGCCCGAGGCGG
rnacentral:lncRNA from 1 species